rnacentral:rRNA from 1 species
UACGGAAGGGGCAAGCGUUGUUCGGAAUCAUUGGGCGUAAAGGGCGCGUAGGUGGUUCUGUAUGUCUACCGGUGAAAGCAUACAGCUCAACUGUAUUUUGUCGGUAGAAACUGCAGGACUUGAGGCUGGGAGGGGCUGGUGGAAUUCCCCGUGUAGCGGUGAAAUGCGUAGAGAUGGGGGAGAACACUCGUGGCGAAGGCGGCCAGCUAGACCAGUUCUGACACUGAGGCGCGACAGCGUGGGGGAGCAAACAGG